rnacentral:rRNA from 1 species
UACGAACUGUGCGAACGUUAUUCGGAAUCACUGGGCUUAAAGGGUGCGUAGGCGGCGAAUCAAGUCUGUUGUGAAAUCUCUCGGCUCAACCGAGAAAGUGCAGUGGAAACUGGUUUGCUAGAGUGAGGCAGGGGUGUAGGGAACUUCCAGUGGAGCGGUGAAAUGUGUUGAUAUUGGAAGGAACACCGGUGGCGAAAGCGUUACACUGGGACUUUUCUGACGCUGAGGCACGAAAGCCAGGGGAGCGAACGGG